GUAAAAAAAAAAACGCUUGUCCAUCAUCUGAUCGUCAUUUCUAGUCUAGUCUAGAAAAUUGAUGGUGAAAGUGUAGACGUAAUUAAGAAAAAAAAAUGUACAAGCUUUGAUACUUACUAAUUGAACAAAAGAUACAUAGGGGCAAAGCCAUAUUUUCACUGUUCUAACAAUAGAUAUAUAGGUGCAAAGGAGUACUUUGACUGUUCUUAAGAACAGUGAAAGUGUGCUCUCUUUUAGAUAUAUAUAAUAAUUUGGAAAACCCAACUAUUAAUGUAUUUUGUAGGACAUGUAACUAUAAGUGUCAUUCUCUCUAAUCAACCAUUUUAAAAUGAUGAACAAACAUUAUAAGUAGUAUAAAUAAUUUAAUGGCUUUGAGACUAAAAGUGGUCCUGAGUUAUAAUUAAGUUGCAUAUCAUUGAUCAGUCUUCUGAUUAAGGCUGUUUAUAUUGUGAGUUGACAUAUGAUUUGUGGUCUGGUUAAGGUACUGCCUGAUGUAGCUGGUUGCUGUUAUGUAGAGUAGUUAUUGGGACGCAAUGACUGAAAAAUCUAGGGUAGCGGGUUUAAUUCAGUUUUGAUAUGCUUAUGCUCAACAUCAGCAAUUUCUUAUUGAUUGCAUGCAUUUUGCAGGUGUGGAAAGGUCAAGGAUCAAGGAAA
rnacentral:misc_RNA from 1 species